rnacentral:lncRNA from 1 species
UCACUUAGCAUGCAGGGAGUUUGUCUCCUGAGCGCUGCGGUAGGGCAGACACAGCGCAUUUCAAACACGAGGUUUGGAACCAAAGCUAUGGAGGCUUCUUUUAUACCCUUGGAGCAAAGUAACUUGCGGACAGCCUUUAACUCCUGGGCUGCCAGCACAUCCCGGCAGCACGUGGCACAGAUGCAGAAAUGUUCUCCCUUUUCUACACGCUGGGAACCAUUCCCGUUUUGCUGUGCUUGGCCGAUGCUUAAUUAUGCAGGAACAUAUUUGGCUUAUUAAGAAUUCAGCACUGAUUUUGUGUACCGCUUUAUUUGCAAUGAACGUUUUGACUCAGUUGAUCACCGAGAAGUGGAGAAUAUGAUGCUUAUUAAUGACAACACCACACAGUGCACAGUUUUUAAUAUUCCCUCCUAUCUGCUGAGGUGACCUGGCCUAAAAACUCAGAAGUAGCGCUCCAAAGCUCAAAGGUCUGGGAGUUAAUCUGCCUACAAGCUACAAUUCAACACGGGAGCCCCUCAGACGCUGCCGAAACACCUCACGGAGCCGCUCCGCAGGGGGCGAUGAGUUCCUGCCCGGGCUGCUCACGAGUGCCCUCUCGCGGCCACUGCAGCGCUCGAGCGCAGGGGGCGUCCCGCCCCUUCCCGCCCUUUUCUCACCUCGCACCUGAGUGAGGGUGGGGGUGGUUUGGACCGUUAUUUUUGGCGGGCUUCUGCUCGGUUCUCUUCCCUCAGCGUGUGGGAAGGCGGUUUGGUUUGGUCUGUAGCUCAGGGCUGCGCUUUGAACACCUUCAAGAGAAGGAAAAAUAAAGCCACGCAGAAAAGCAAUCUUGUGCAACACAAAAAUCGGCUUCGGGGCUGCAGCGUCAGUGAAUACGGAGUAACCAAUAAAGAUCUGGCUAUUAAAGAACAGCACAGUCAUGAAAAGGAGUUCAGCUGAUGCUUCAACCCGCAGCACAGCAGGUUGUUUGCCUGUGCCUCUCUUCAAUCAGAAGAAGAGAACCAGGCAGCCCCUCACUUCAAAUCCUCUGAAGAAUGAGCCAGGCUCCAGUUCUGCCACUCAUGACUCUUUUUCCUCAUCACUGGGCUGGGGAGCUGCAAACCCAGAAGUUGAUGAACUACAGAAGGCAGCAAAUGAAGGAGUAGAUGAUCACAUGGCUCCUUCUCUUAUGAAACCACCAAAUGCAUCAAAGUCUAAUUCAGUCAAAGCUGGAAGAAACUUGUAUGCCUUCAGGACAGAAGAGAAGACUCCCAGAACUAAAAUUUGGAACAGAAAUGAGUGUACUCCUGCAAGUAACAGAACAGGUUCAAAUUCUGACAGUGGAGCUACUCAAAAGUUUGAGAACCGUUCAAAUAAUUGGAAAACUGUUCAGCAGCAGAAAAUGCCUGAUAGCUCUAAUGCAUCUCAGCAUAUCAGAACACCAGAAACUAGUCAAACACAUUCCACAAAAGGACAGUGGCCAGUGAAACCUAACACUACAUCAAGAAAUCUGCAGGAUUCUGGUCUGGCAUAUAAAUUUAAUAGCAAUAGUCAGCAAAAUAGCAUGAAUGAAAAGCAGUUCGAUUGUGUUCCGGAAGACAAAAGUCAGGAUAUUUCUUCAUUUCAACUGAAACUUAAAGAAAAAAGGAAUUCUUUGCGUAUCAUAUCUGCAGUCAUUGAAAGCAUGAAGCACUGGAGCCAGUAUACUUACAAAACUGCACUAUUAUUUGAAGUUUUAGGCACGCUUGAUUCUGCGGUCACAUCUGGAGCGUACGGAGCCAAGAAUUUUCUUUUGAGAGAUGGAACGGAGAGCCUGCCUUGUGUUUUUUAUGAAAUUGAUCGUGAGCUUCCAAGACUAAUUAGAGGUCGUGUGCUCAGAUGCAUGGGAAACUAUGACGCAAAAAGAAAUAUUUUCAAGUGUGUCUCUGUAAGACCAGCAACUAUUCCAGAACAAAACACUUUCCAAGAAUUUGUUAAAAUUGCAGAUGUUGAGAUGACAGCCUAUGUAAAAACAAUGAAUGAAAUUUGAAUGGUAAACGUUGUUGCAUAAAAUUCAUUUCCCCAAACUAAUGCUGAAAAUGUGAUUAAAUAAUUGAAAA